CUUCUGCUUAGGACUCAACUGGCACUGAAGAGGAAGAGAAGAAGAAGAGAGAAGGAAAUGACAUCAUCAGUGACGCAGACGAGUCGGCUUUGUUCUCUCUCAGUGUGACCUAGUGUUUCUCUCCGGGGAGGCUGACAUGUGACCAGUGGAUUCCACAGCGAGGUGGGGCCUCAGCCAAUCAGCCUGGGUGUGGCUGCAAGCACCGGCCCCUCCCACAGACACACACACACACACACACACACUGGAUUCCCAGCCCCAUUGUGCGAGGACAGAGCCCCCCUCUGUGAGUCCAAACAAAGGUGAAGGCAGCUCGGUGCCACACCUUCCCCCCCCAAUCUGGCAACCCGCACGCACUGUGCACCAGCAACCGACAUUACUGUAAACAUUUCAAAAUAAGACGCACUUUAAAAUGGCUUCUCUUCCAGGAUCAAAGGUCAAAGAGACCAUGUGACGUGCGCAGUCUUUCCCAACAGCAACGAAAUAGAGAUUCAUUGCUUCCCACGACAUUUGCACCGACGUCCAGGAAGAAAAACCACCAGAGGAAGUGAAAAUAAAACUACUUUCAGACAUGAAGUCAAA